rnacentral:misc_RNA from 1 species
GUAGGUGAACCUGCGGAAGGAUCAUUAACACGUAUCCAACGUUAAAACCCCCGUGAACUUUCAGCCUGCUCUUGUGCAUGAAAGGCUGCAGCAAUCUCGGUAAAUCAAGUGGGAGAGCAGUUUGAUUCGAGACCUCUGCAUCAUUUCAUGUACAAUCGUAGCGGUAGGAUCAGUGGCAUGGCGUCCCGAGCCUCCAGUGAAUGACAGCGUCACUGGAACAAGUGAGGGAUAACGCUUAAACGGUUGCUAGAGGUCGCUCACCGACCGGCAGACAUGUCACAGGGCCUUGCGCCCCUUAACCACCCCUUCCUUAUUGAUCAGGCCUGCGAUGAAAAUUGCGGCAAAAAAAAACCGAACAACUGUUAACAAUGGAUAUCUUGGUUCUC